rnacentral:tRNA from 1 species
UUCCCUGUAGCUCAGUUGGUAGAGCAUGGUGUUUGCAACGCCAGGGUUGUGGGUUUGAUUCCCACGGGGGGGG